rnacentral:rRNA from 1 species
UCCUGUCUGAAUAUGGGGGGACCAUCCUCCAAGGCUAAAUACUCCUGACUGACCGAUAGUGAACCAGUACCGUGAGGGAAAGGCGAAAAGAACCCCGGCGAGGGGAGUGAAAAAGAACCUGAAACCGUGUACGUACAAGCAGUGGGAGCACGCUUAGGCGUGUGACUGCGUACCUUUUGUAUAAUGGGUCAGCGACUUAUAUUCUGUAGCAAGGUUAACCGAAUAGGGGAGCCGAAGGGAAACCGAGUCUUAACUGGGCGUUAAGUUGCAGGGUAUAGACCCGAAACCCGGUGAUCUAGCCAUGGGCAGGUUGAAGGUUGGGUAACACUAACUGGAGGACCGAACCGACUAAUGUUGAAAAAUUAGCGGAUGACUUGUGGCUGGGGGUGAAAGGCCAAUCAAACCGGGAGAUAGCUGGUUCUCCCCGAAAGCUAUUUAGGUAGCGCCUCGUGAAUUCAUCUCCGGGGGUAGAGCACUGUUUCGGCAAGGGGGUCAUCCCGACUUACCAACCCGAUGCAAACUGCGAAUACCGGAGAAUGUUAUCACGGGAGACACACGGCGGGUGCUAACGUCCGUCGUGAAGAGGGAAACAACCCAGACCGCCAGCUAAGGUCCCAAAGUCAUGGUUAAGUGGGAAACGAUGUGGGAAGGCCCAGACAGCCAGGAUGUUGGCUUAGAAGCAGCCAUCAUUUAAAGAAAGCGUAAUAGCUCACUGGUCGAGUCGGCCUGCGCGGAAGAUGUAACGGGGCUAAACCAUGCACCGAAGCUGCGGCAGCGACGCUGAUGCGUUGUUGGGUAGGGGAGCGUUCUGUAAGCCUGUGAAGGUGUGCUGUGAGGCAUGCUGGAGGUAUCAGAAGUGCGAAUGCUGACAUAAGUAACGAUAAAGCGGGUGAAAAGCCCGCUCGCCGGAAGACCAAGGGUUCCUGUCCAACGUUAAUCGGGGCAGGGUGAGUCGACCCCUAAGGCGAGGCCGAAAGGCGUAGUCGAUGGGAAACAGGUUAAUAUUCCUGUACUUGGUGUUACUGCGAAGGGGGGACGGAGAAGGCUAUGUUGGCCGGGCGACGGUUGUCCCGGUUUAAGCGUGUAGGCUGGUUUUCCAGGCAAAUCCGGAAAAUCAAGGCUGAGGCGUGAUGACGAGGCACUACGGUGCUGAAGCAACAAAUGCCCUGCUUCCAGGAAAAGCCUCUAAGCAUCAGGUAACAUCAAAUCGUACCCCAAACCGACACAGGUGGUCAGGUAGAGAAUACCAAGGCGCUUGAGAGAACUCGGGUGAAGGAACUAGGCAAAAUGGUGCCGUAACUUCGGGAGAAGG